AGAGUUUGAUCAUGGCUCAGAACGAACGCUGGCGGCGUGGAUAAGACAUGCAAGUCGAACGCCCAUUUUAGGGUAGCAAUAUUCUGAAGUGGGAGUGGCGUAAGGGUGCGUAACAUGUGGGUAAUCUGCCGUGAAGUUUGGGAUAACUCGCUGAAAGGCGAGCUAAUACCGGAUGUGACUGCUAGGAGGCAUCUUCUGGCUUUCAAAGUUGGGGACCGUAAGGCCUGACGCUUCAUGAUGAGCCCGCAACCUAUCAGCUAGUUGGUGAGGUAACGGCUUACCAAGGCUAAGACGGGUAGCUGGUCUGAGAGGACGACCAGCCACACUGGAACUGAGACACGGUCCAGACACCUACGGGUGGCAGCAGUCGAGAAUUUUUCACAAUGGGCGAAAGCCUGAUGGAGCGACGCCGCGUGGGGGAUGAAGGGCUUCGGUCCGUAAACCCCUGUCAUUUGUGAACAAAGCUUACGACCUAAUACGUCGUGAGUUGAUAGUAGCGAAAGAGGAAGGGACGGCUAACUCUGUGCCAGCAGCCGCGGUAAUACAGAGGUCCCGAGCGUUGUUCGGAUUUACUGGGCAAAGGGUGCGUAGGUGGUGAGGUAAGUCUGAUGUGAAAUCUCCGAGCUUAACUCGGAAAUGGCAUUGGAAACUACCUUGCUAGAGGGUUGGAGGGGGGACUGGAAUACUUGGUGUAGCAGUGAAAUGCGUAGAUAUCAAGUGGAACACCAGUGGCGAAGGCGAGUCCCUGGACAACUCCUGACACUGAGGCACGAAAGCUAGGGGAGCAAACAGGAUUAGAUACCCUAGUAGUCC
rnacentral:rRNA from 1 species